GAAAAGUAACGGAAGUUCGCAGGGAACAAGAGACACAAUAAGCUGCCAAAAUACAUACAAAAUGAAAUGGGAGCAAUCGAGUUGCUGGAUGGUCAAGGGACAACACAAAGCGACGUUGAGAAGCAGUAAUGAGCAGAAUGGCACAAGAGACGAGAGGAAGUUGCCAAAAUACAGCCAGAUCGGUAGACGAUAGUACAAUGUCUUUAGAAGUUUAUAAAUAUCUACAAAAGAUAAAAUCGUCCUUUUUAUUCAUAUGUUAUUGGCUUCAUAGAAGGAAUGAAGACGCAACAAGAAAUAACGUUAGAAAUUUCUCC